rnacentral:rRNA from 1 species
CCUACGGGAGGCAGCAGUGAGGAAUAUUGGUCAAUGGACGAGAGUCUGAACCAGCCAAGUAGCGUGAAGGAUGACUGCCCUAUGGGUUGUAAACUUCUUUUAUAUGGGAAUAAAAUGUUCCACGUGUGGGAUUUUGUAUGUACCAUAUGAAUAAGGAUCGGCUAACUCCGGGCCAGCAGCCGCGGUAAUACGGAGGAUCCGAGCGUUAUCAGGAUUUAUUGGGUUUAAAGGGAGCGUAGGUGGAUUGUUAAGUCAGUUGUGAAAGUUUGCGGCUCAACCGUAAAAUUGCAGUUGAAACUGGCAGUCUUGAGUACAGUAGAGGUGGGCGGAAUUCGUGGUGUAGCGGUGAAAUGCUUAGAUAUCACGAAGAACUCCGAUUGCGAAGGCAGUUCACUGGACUGCAACUGACACUGAGGCUCGAAAGUGUGGGUAUCAAACAGGAUUAGAUACCCCAGUAGUC